UCCCAGUCAUCCUCACUGAAACUGCCAUCCAUAAAGGGGUAACUCUUCCUGGGAUCCCCAGGAGGGGUGCUGCUCUUCUGUCUGCUGGAUCUCCACUCAUGAGGAUGAAGAGCAAUACCAACAGCCUGAGAAAACAUAUCCAGGGGUAGCCAUGUUGGUGAAGAUACUGUACCAGAGAGAACUAAUGGACUGGGACUUUACUAUUUCAAGUUUCUACCAUGAACAAAGUGACAUCAAGACACUGGGACAUCUUGCUGAAAUAGGUUUGUCUGACCCUACUGCAGCUUGCCCUUAGCUUUAAACUUGCUCGACAGAAUGAAUACUAUACCCAAAGGAAGCCUCUUAUUUUCCACAAGGACCAUAAGACUGCACCAUGACAGCUUAGAAAAUGUGACUUUCUUUUAAGACUGAGUGCAGUCUGUUUGCACACAAGAAAAUGGUUGUGCAGGAAAUGCUAUUUCUCUCUUUUGCAUGUGCCAUAAAAUUCAAUAGGAUGCAGGCAGGAGAAUUUCCUAGUGGUUGAUAUAUGUGAUAUCACCUUGGACCUCUGCCCAGUAGAAUGCAAACUGAAACACACCUUUCUG